UUUCCUGGCCCCCCUGCACUUCGGGAUAAGCCUGGGAAACUGGGUCUAAUACCGGAUAGGACCACGGGAUGCAUGUCUUGUGGUGGAAAGCGCUUUAGCGGUGUGGGAUGAGCCCGCGGCCUAUCAGCUUGUUGGUGGGGUGACGGCCUACCAAGGCGACGACGGGUAGCCGGCCUGAGAGGGUGUCCGGCCACACUGGGACUGAGAUACGGCCCAGACUCCUACGGGAGGCAGCAGUGGGGAAUAUUGCACAAUGGGCGCAAGCCUGAUGCAGCGACGCCGCGUGGGGGAUGACGGCCUUCGGGUUGUAAACCUCUUUCACCAUCGACGAAGGUCCGGGUUCUCUCGGAUUGACGGUAGGUGGAGAAGAAGCACCGGCCAACUACGUGCCAGCAGCCGCGGUAAUACGUAGGGUGCGAGCGUUGUCCGGAAUUACUGGGCGUAAAGAGCUCGUAGGUGGUUUGUCGCGUUGUUCGUGAAAUCUCACGGCUUAACUGUGAGCGUGCGGGCGAUACGGGCAGACUAGAGUACUGCAGGGGAGACUGGAAUUCCUGGUGUAGCGGUGGAAUGCGCAGAUAUCAGGAGGAACACCGGUGGCGAAGGCGGGUCUCUGGGCAGUAACUGACGCUGAGGAGCGAAAGCGUGGGGAGCGAACAGGAUUAGAUACCCUGGUAGUCCACGCCGUAAACGGUGGGUACUAGGUGUGGGUUUCCUUCCUUGGGAUCCGUGCCGUAGCUAACGCAUUAAGUACCCCGCCUGGGGAGUACGGCCGCAAGGCUAAAACUCAAGGAUUGACGGGGCCCGCACAGCGCGAGCAUGUGAUAUUCGAUGCACGCGAGACCUUACUGGU
rnacentral:rRNA from 1 species